UUUUGUGUGUGCGAGCAUGCAUAUUGAAUUGAGUUGAUUUUAGCAACUAAUGGGAGAAAAUUAUAGAAAGUGAUAUAGAUGAUAAAAUAAGACGAAUAUCAAGAAUAAAAUUAGCAUUAAGAUUUUAAUUUUUUAACUAUUAAUCUUAUCUAACCAUUUGCUGUCAAAUUGUUAGCAGACUGCUAAUAAUUUCUUACGAAAUCAGGUUGCCAAAACCAUAGCUUACUGUGUCCUCGAAUGCGUCCAAAUUGCAAACAAAAAUUGUUAUCAAUUUCUGAAAUCAAAUUGGGUGCAACACCAAAGCAGAUCUGUCGCUACUUUUGGUGUUUGUCGUUAAUCUGUUAUCAAUACUUUCAAUAAAUCUGUUCACCGUUUACUAUUAUGUAUUUUGAUGACAGAUGUUGCUAAAUAUUUGCUGAAUAUUUGUGUUACGUCCGAGGGACUUCACGUUUUAUUAUCCGCUGACUUUUUAGAAAUAAAUAAGUUAGACGAAACAUUCUGGGACUUAUCUGCGGUGGAGGGGUUGCAAAGCCAAAAAACUUCGGGUCACGAGGGUGUCUGAUUCUUAUAAUCAGAAAGAGCCAGACCCUAAAGUUAUUAAAAUUUGGCGGGGAUCAAGUCCCGUCAAAAUAAAAAUUUAAGGAGUUAUACUACUCAGCAAAAAAUUUUUUUCCGUUUUUUUUUUAUUGGCUUAAAUGAUGCAUAAACUAUCUAAAAAUGAUAUUUCAGCAUAAUUAUAAGUGGAAAACAUUAAAAAAAAUUUUUACAACUUAUUUUUCGAAGCGCUUUGAAAUGUUUAAAAAUGUCACUCCGUCACGCGCAGCAUUUUGAAGUGUUGUAGUCAAGUCAGUAUUUUUAUAUAGGUAGAAGUAAGUUAUACUUUCUCAAAUUAAGUGUUAAUUAAAUGCGAAUGAAAAUUUAAAUGCCGUCGUUUGGAUAGUAGCGCCGAAAUCGGUAUCAAGCAGCAAAACUGUUAUUGAUAUAGCGACUAACGUUGCUGCAAUCACUUAUAAUGAUAGUUUUCAAGAAUUACUUGCUAUAAUGAGUACACUUGAACUGAAUAUUAGCCACGAAUUUUAUAAUUAUUGUAUGGAAAUUGAUGAACGGCGCGUUCAAGCUGCAAACUGCUCAGCAUCAAUAAACAGAAAAACGCGCGGAAGGACUUUCAUCGCUCAGAAAGGAGGCUGAAGAGCAAUAUUUAGGCUUGGAAGAAAUUUUUUACGGUCCUGGGAUAGCAGAGUGAAGAUGCUGUAUGAACAUUGCUACUCUGCACGCCGUUUAUCUCUUCGAAAAAAAAGCGUUCUUAAGUAACUUAUUGCCACGACGCCAUUUUGUACUUUAAAUAAAAAAAAUUUUUUUUGUAUAUCUUAAAAUUUAUAUAAUAAACCCUGUAAACUUUAGUUUAAUUGCUUUAUUAGUAGUGGAGAAAAAAUUCAUAAAAAAAGCCUCUUUUUCAGCACGCCUGAGUAGUAUAACCCCUUAAAUAUUUACGCAGCGUCGCCGGCUCUCGACAGUUUAAGAACAUUUACGGAAUUUUUUUUACGACCGCCAAUAAGCGCCAGAUGCAAUUUAGAUUAGCCGAAAGGGAUGAGACGCGUUUGGUUUCCGAAGUAAUAAUAAAAGAAAAA